GUGACCAGUCCCUCGCAAGAAAAUCUCAAAAUCUCGUUUAUCGGUCCAUCAAUUCACGGAUAUCAAGGAAUUUUUAUCUUUUUUGCAUUUCAAUUCAAUUUCUCCUUUUCAUUCCGAAUUUUUAACCUCAUUUCCUCUCCAUUAAUUUACUGUUUCUCGAUCUUUGCCUAUAUUUUUUAAUGGGCACUCCACUUCUUUGCUUCCUCUCCAGAGAGAGGGGGACGCCAAAAGGAAACCCUGCGAUUUCAUACCUUACGAUCUUCUUCAAUCUCUUAAUAUUAAAUCAAGCCCAUGUGAGAAAAAAAUAUUAUAUUUCUUUCAAUUUGUUAUUUAAUUUUUUUAUCAACCUGAAUUUUGCUUAUAUUUUGAUGAUAUUCUUUUUCAUAUUCUUUUCGUUGACUGAAAUGUAUCAAUUUUGCAUCUCGAGAGCCCGUAAAGUCGUUUUUCUGACAUUGGCUUUGCCAUUUGUUUGUGCUAAAUUUACUUGGAUUUUGCCCAAUUCUGGUGAUAGAAGAGUGGUUAAUUUUUUUUAAUGCGUAUUAUAUAGUUCGAGGAAAAUAAUAUUUGCUUUCUAUUGUGUUAAAUGAGAACCAGAUUCAAUGGGACUGAAUCGGGAUCCAUGUCGGAACUUCUAUUGUUUAUGUUUUAGCUGGAAUACUGGAGUUUUUAAUUGUUAUAUAUUGUUUUACUUUAACCUUGGUUCUUGGGCUUAUGUUUUGUGUACUCUACUAUUUCUUUCUUGACCUUACACGUGUUUCCGUUUUCAAUGAAGGGUUUAUAUUGGACUGGAUAACCACUUCAGCAUUGCCUAGUACUUCCGAGUUUCGGGACGCAGGGUUUCUGUUUUUUAUGGGUUGAGCCCGAGAAAUCAUGGGUAGCUUCAGUGACGAGGAUAAAGAAUUUCGAUUCUUUGAUGCAUCAGAGCACAUUGCAUCAGCUUCCCAGUCUGAUUCUGAUAAUGCUGGGGCUAAUAAUUGUGAAUAUGAUUUGUGGAUUGGGAGUCCUCAAAGUGUUAGGGAGCGUCGUAGGAAAUUCAUUAGACGGAUGGAAUUGAGCUUAGAUAGGUUAGAAGGAAACAAUUCCUUUGAUGUACAUAAUAAUGGUAAAUGUGGCGUGUUUAGGGAAGAUAUUGAUAGAAUAAUGGAAAGUAGUGAGUCCGUUCUAAGAAAUUCAAUUUUUGAAGAUGAAUUUUCUUCUAGUCAUUCUUGUGUAUCAAGUUGGUCCACUGGUGUUUUGGAUUUAGUAAGAGAAGUGGCUCCAAGUGAAAAUUUUAUUUGUAGAAACAUGAAUUUAAAUGAUGGACGCGAGUGUGAUGUUGAUAAUUUGGUGGAGGAUGACAAACGGAGAGCUGUUGGAGUUGCAGGGUUGGACCAAGUGUUGAUAUCCAAAGAGUUUGACAACAUUACUCGACUGACUAAUUCAGUUCAGCAACUUCGGGAGAAAGAAUUUGAGAUCAAUGGAAAUAUUUCGAAAAUAAUAAAUAAAGUAAAAGUUCGCUGGUUGAGUAGAUUCCGUUCCUUGACACUCAUGAUGAGUGGGAAUGGGAGAGCUGAUAAUCCUAGAUCCAAUUGCCCUAGUCGAGUUCAGGGGACCAAGGUUCAGAGAGUUAGAGUUCGGCAUAAACGGAAAAUGUUGAAAGAACUCUCUGCACUUGUCACUGGACAAGAUAUCAAGGCUCAUGAAGGGUCAAUCCUUACUAUAAAAUUUAGUCUCGACGGACAAUACCUGGCUAGUGCUGGUGAAGAUAAAAUUGUGCGAAUUUGGCAAGUGGUGGAAGAUGACAGAUCAAGCGAUACUGAUAUUCCAGAUGUAGAUCAAUCUUGCAUUUACUUCUCGGUGAACCAUCUUUCUGAAUUGGAACCUCUCAUGAAGGAAGAAUAUAAAACCAACAAAUUGAAGAGUUUAAGGAAACCAAAAGACUCGGCAUGUAUCAUCUUUCCUCCAAAGGUUUUCCGGAUUUUGGAGAAGCCAUUGCACAUAUUUGUAGGUCACACUGGAGACAUUGUGGAUCUUUCUUGGUCGAAAACUAAUGUGAGUUUUCGACAUGCAAUCAAGUAGGUUUUCUUUUGAAAUUGCCUGGGAAUGAAUGGUAUUAUAUAUAACUAAGUUUUCUUGCAGUGUCUGCUUUCUUCAUCAAUUGAUAAAACUGUUCGUUUGUGGCGGGUUGGAUAUGAGCAGUGUCUCAAGGUCUUUCUGCAUAGUGAUUAUGGUGUGUAACCAGUUGCAUAUAGUGAUUUGAUAGGAUUUGGCUUGUGAAAAAACAUUAUAUCAAUGUCUUGACAUACUGAUUCCUUUUGCUAAAAAUGAAUUUAAUUGUAUGCAGUAACCUGCGUUCAAUUUAACCCUGUGAAUGAUGAUUACUUCAUCAGUGGUUCAAUUGAUGGAAAAGUUCGGAUUUGGACAAUCAGCGGUUAUCAAGUUAUCAACUGGACUGAAAUAAGAGACAUAGUUACUGCUGUUUCUUAUAGGCCUGAUGGGCAGGUCUGUUGAUUGUCUAUCCCUUUACAGAUAAUUAUGAUACAGUAUUCAAAUAGGAUUGAAGACGACAAUGG
rnacentral:lncRNA from 1 species